rnacentral:rRNA from 1 species
GAUGAACGCUGGCGGCGUGCCUAAUACAUGCAAGUCGAGCGAACGGACGAGAAGCUUGCUUCUCUGAUGUUAGCGGCGGACGGGUGAGUAACACGUGGAUAACCUACCUAUAAGACUGGGAUAACUUCGGGAAACCGGAGCUAAUACCGGAUAAUAUUUUGAACCGCAUGGUUCAAAAGUGAAAGACGGUCUUGCUGUCACUUAUAGAUGGAUCCGCGCUGCAUUAGCUAGUUGGUAAGGUAACGGCUUACCAAGGCAACGAUGCAUAGCCGACCUGAGAGGGUGAGCGGCCACACUGGGACUGAGACACGGUCCAGAGUCCUACGGGAGGCAGAAGUAGGGGAUCUUCCGGAAUGGGCGAAAGCCUGACGGAGCAACGCCGCGUGAAUGAUGAAGGUCUUCGUAUCGUAAAACUCUGUUAUGAGGGAAGAACAUAUGUGUAAGUAACUGUGCACAUCUGGACGGUACCUAAUCAGAAAGACACGAAUAACUAAGAG